AAAGGAUUCUGGGAGAGUGCCAGGUGAAAGAUUCGCCUGGGAAAAUGUGGCAAGACAGGCAAAUUGUACCUGAGCACAGAUAUCUCUGGAUAAAAUGGUUAAGGCUCCUGGAAUGCCAACUGUACAACCAAUGUGGUGGCCAGUAGUAUAUCCCAGUACAUCUAUCAAGAAUCCUAUGUCACAGAUGGAGGUAGAUUCAUGGAGCUCUCACAAGGCAGAUAAGGAAGAGGCACUCAACAGUAAGCAACAGGUUCUGCCUCAGUCUAACAUCAGUGGAAGAUUCCUGGCUGAUUUGCAGUAAAGUGAUAGAAUUUUGCCUAUCUGGGGCUGAUAUGACACACUGAUAUCUGAUCAUACUAAGUGUGUUAUCACAGAAGACAAGAUGGGAGAAGAAACCACCUCCCUAAAGGCAGACUGAUUUCUUCAUCAAUAUUUCUGAUGACUACUUCAACAAUCUCUCUAGGAAUUCAGCUGUCUACAUUCAGUCCUGCCUCUUAGACACAUGAGAUUUCUCCGCAUAUGAAGAGAAGCCAAUUCUGUCCUUCUGAUGAGGUGUAUUGUCUGUAGAGACUGUUCUCAUACAUCCUGGCAAGCUACUAUUCUCCACGCAGAUUCCCAUGAAGUUGGAAUUCAGAAGAAUCACUCCAAGAAAGACGUAAAAUAUGAAGAGCUAUAAAAGGACUAGGAAAUGCUCCUUUGAUUUGAGCUGCACACUAUUGAUUGUAUAUGCUCAGAGAUGAUCUGGAAUAGAUUGACUCUGUGCAGAACUAGAUUUAGGCAGGCUGUGUCUAAAAGACAGACAAGAAGAGCCCUCAGUCAUCCAGGUCCCUUUGCUUACAUGAGUCCAACCUAAUGUAAGAAGCCCCAGUUCUUCUUGUAUGAAGAAGAGCUCCUUCCCAUUGUGAGUAUAACAAAAAUCUGGGCCUCCUUUCUGGGGAGGAAUGAUGAUGUGAGUAACGUGAUACUCCUCUCCAACCUGCCAAGAGAAAGCAACUUGUCACAA